AGCAGGACCAAUAAGCAUCCAGCAGCUUUAUUUCGGCAGCCUCACUGCGCAUGGCUACAGUCGCACAGGAAAACAUAACGGCGAUAAUUACAAAAGAAGCUUGCGUUGGGAUCGGGAAUGAAACAUGGGACUCGGGAAGCGGCGCAAUUAGUAAACAAUCCCGACAGGAGCCAAUGGGAGAGCGAGAUCAUCGGCCUGACUUCCGGAGUGGGCUGAAAACUUAGCUGCGAGGCCACGCCCACCAUUGACUUUGCUUGGAGGGGAGCCUGAAAGAGGAGGUCACACAGAUGCAACAUAUGAAGAGCAACAUGUCCAUCCAUCCAUCCAUUUUCUACCGCUUAUUCCCCUUUGGGGUCCCAGGGGGCGCUGGUGCCUAUCUCAGCUACAAUCGGGGGAAAGGCGGGGUACACCCUGGACAAGUCGCCACCUCAUCGCAGAAGAGCAACAUGUAUGUUUUUUUUUUUUUUGACAACUUUAUUUUGUAUUCAUCCUUUGAACUCUACUGUUGAAUAUAUUUUAAAAUCUAUUUGUAUACAUACAUAGGCGCCGAUCUACAUUUCUGCCAAUGGGUGCUCGGUGUGUGUAUUAAAAAAAAAAAAAAAGGAUGUUCGUACCAAACUCACCACAAAAUAAACUAUAAUAAGAUUGGUUUUUCAAAAAUGAUUGCCAUCAUAGUUGCCAUCAUUGCCAGGUGGGUGCUCAGCACACUGCAAAAAGUAAGUGUUCAAAAAUAAGAAUAAAAAAUACAAAAAUUAAAGGUAUUUUAUUUGAGCUGAGCAAAAUUAUCUGCCAAUAGAAGAAAAAAAUUGGGCUUUUCAAGACUUUCCUAAACAAGUAAAAUUAGCUAUCCUCAAUGAACCCAAAAUACCUUAAAAUAAGUAUUUUCUCACUUACAGCAACUGUACUGCUAUAUGAAUACGUAUGUUCUAUUUUUUCAUUAAUAAUAAAACAGCAAAGUCCAUUUGGCUGUCAUGUUUUUUUCAUGCUUGAAAUAAGAAAUUAUUACUUUAAAAAAAUAGUUUUAUACUUGUGACUGUUGAUGACACAGCGUUGCAACACUUGAUAUUCUAGUUUCAAGCAUGUUUUACUCAAUAUAGGUCAUAACAUCUCAGCAACUAGCUGUAAUAUCUCACUGAGACAAUUUAGGACCAAAACCCUUAAAACAAGUAAAACACUCUAACAUGAAAUCUGCUUAGUGAGAAGAAUUAUCUUAUCAUACAGAAUAUAAGCAAAUAUCACCCUUAUUUGAGAUAUUUAAUCUGACAUAGAUUUGAGUUUUUGCAGUGCACCAACGGGAUCCGCGCCUAUUUAUACAUACAUAUUUUCAAUUAUAUUUUGAAUAUGUAUUUCAAAUAUUGCUUCUGUAAACUUUUUGUUUGAAUAAACUGUCAGUUUAAAAUGA